rnacentral:rRNA from 1 species
AUAUAGGUCAAGCUACAAAGGGCGCAUGGUGAAUGCCUUGGCAUCAGGAGCCGAUGAAGGACGUGAUAAGCUGCGAUAAGCUUCGGGUAGGCGCACAUAGCCUGAGAUCCGAAGAUCUCCGAAUGAGGAAACUCACAUGGGAAACCCCAUGUAUCAUUAAGUGAAUACAUAGCUUAAUGAAGGUAACCCAGGGAACUGAAACAUCUAAGUACCUGGAGGAAGAGAAAGAAAAAUCGAUUUUCUUAGUAGCGGCGAGCGAAAGGGAAAGAGCCCAAACCGGAAACUUGUUUCCGGGGUUGUGGACAUAGCAUAAAAGUGGAGGCUAUUGUAACUGAAGAGAACUGGAAAGUUCCACCGUAGAAGGUAAUAGUCCUGUAAGUGAAACGAGAAGACCACGAGUUAUGAUCCAGAGUACCACGAGACACGUGAAACCUUGUGGGAAGCAGGGAGGACCACCUCCCAAGGCUAAAUACUACCUGAUGACCGAUAGUGAAGCAGUACCGUGAGGGAAAGGUGAAAAGAACCCCGGGAGGGGAGUGAAAUAGAACCUGAAACCGUGUGCCUACAACCGCUCAGAGCCCCUUAUGAGGGUGAUGAGGUGCUUUUUGUAGAACGAGCCAACGAGUUACGGUAUGUAGCAAGGUUAAGUACUUAAGGUACGGAGCCGAAGGGAAACCGAGUCUGAAUAGGGCGACUAGUUGCAUGCCGUAGACCCGAAACCGGGUGACCUAUCCAUGGCCAGGUUGAAGCGAGGGUAAAACCUCGUGGAGGACCGAACCACGUUGCUGUUGAAAAAGCAUGGGAUGAGCUGUGGAUAGCGGAGAAAUUCCAAUCGAACCCGGAGAUAGCUGGUUCUCUCCGAAAUAGCUUUAGGGCUAGCGUCGAGUAUGAGUAGUGGAGGUAGAGCACUGAAUGGGCUAGGGGGCAUAGCGCUUACCGAACCUUAUCAAACUCCGAAUGCCACAUACUUUGAGCUCGGCAGUCAGACUACGAAUGAUAAGAUCCGUGGUCAAAAGGGAAACAGCCCAGAUCGUCAGCUAAGGUCCCAAAGUGUAAGUUAAGUGGGAAAGGAUGUGAGAUUUCUAAGACAACUAGGAUGUUGGCUUAGAAGCAGCCAUUCAUUAAAAGAGUGCGUAAUAGCUCACUAGUCGAGAGAUCUUGCGCCGAAAAUGUAACGGGGCUAAACUUACCACCGAAGCUACGGGCUUGAACUUAGUUCAAGCGGUAGGAGAGCGUCGUAACCGGGCUGAAGUCGUACCGUAAGGAGCGGUGGACUGGUUACGAGUGAGAAUGUUGGCAUCAGUAGCGAGAUGUGGGUGAGAAUCCCACAGGCCGAAAACCUAAGGUUUCCUCAGGAAGGUUCGUCCGCUGAGGGUUAGUCGGGACCUAAGCCGAGGCCGAAAGGCGUAGGUGAUGGACAACUGGUUGAUAUUCCAGUACCACUACCAUCGUUAUUAUCGAUGGCGUGACGCAGGAGGAUAGUGUGUGCUAGCUAUUGGAUGCUAGUCUAAGCGUUUAGGCAGUGAGAGUAGGCAAAUCCGCUCUCAUAAUGCUGAGGCGUGAUGGGGAAGGUUCCACGGAACCGAAGUACAUGAUUCCACGCUGCCAAGAAAAGCGUCUAGAGAGAGAAGUAGUGCCCGUACCGCAAACCGACACAGGUAGGUGAGGAGAGAAUCCUAAGGCCGGCGGAAGAAUUACAGUUAAGGAACUCGGCAAAUUGACCCCGUAAGUUCGCGAGAAGGGGUGCCUACGAGAGUAGGCCGCAGAGAAUAGGCCCAAGCAACUGUUUAGCAAAAACACAGGUCUCUGCUAAAGCGUAAGCUGAUGUAUAGGGGCUGACGCCUGCCCGGUGCUGGAAGGUUAAGGGGAACACUUAGCGCAAGCGAAGGUGUGAACUUAAGCCCCAGUAAACGGCGGCCGUAACUAUAACGGUCCUAAGGUAGCGAAAUUCCUUGUCAGGUAAGUUCUGACCCGCACGAAUGGCGUAAUGACUUGGGCACUGUCUCAACUGUAAAUCCGGCGAAGUUGUAGUGCGAGUGAAGAUGCUCGCUACCCGCGAUUGGACGGAAAGACCCCGUAGAGCUUUACUGUAGCUUAGCAUUGAGUUUUGGUAUUGUCUGUACAGGAUAGGUGGGAGACUAGGAAACCAGGGCGUCAGCCUUGGUGGAGUCAACCUUGGGAUACCACCCUGACAGUACUGAAAUUCUAACUGGCGGCCAUGAAUCUGGUCACAGGACAUUGUUAGGUGGGCAGUUUGACUGGGGCGGUCGCCUCCUAAAAAGUAACGGAGGCGCCCAAAGGUUCCCUCAGAACGGUCGGAAAUCGUUCGAAGAGUGCAAAGGCAGAAGGGAGCCUGACUGCGACACCCACAAGUGGAGCAGGGACGAAAGUCGGGCUUAGUGAUCCGGUGGUACCUCGUGGGAGGGCCAUCGCUCAACGGAUAAAAGCUACCUCGGGGAUAACAGGCUGAUCUCCCCCAAGAGUCCACAUCGACGGGGAGGUUUGGCACCUCGAUGUCGGCUCGUCGCAUCCUGGGGCUGAAGUAGGUCCCAAGGGUUGGGCUGUUCGCCCAUUAAAGCGGCACGCGAGCUGGGUUCAGAACGUCGUGAGACAGUUCGGUCCCUAUCCGUCGCGGGCGUAGGAAAUUUGAGAGGAGCUGUCCUUAGUACGAGAGGACCGGGAUGGACUGACCUCUGGUGUACCAGUUGUUCCGCCAGGAGCACAGCUGGGUAGCUAAGUCGGGAAUGGAUAAACGCUGAAAGCAUCUAAGCGUGAAGCCAACCUCAAGAUGAGAUUUCCCAUAGCAUAAGCUAGUAAGAUCCCUUGAAGAACACAAGGUUGAUAGGUCGGGGGUGUAAGCAUGGUAACAUGUUCAGCUGACCGAUACUAAUAGAUCGAGGGCUUGACCAAAU